rnacentral:lncRNA from 1 species
GGAGGCUGGGCGGGGGAGUCCGGGAGAGGCAACGGGGCCCCCCCUGAGGGGCCAGGGGACCUCCUAGGAGAGAGAGAAGUCUCGGGAGGCAAAGGCUGCAGAGGAGGAGAUGGAUUCGAGAAAUACUCAGCAGGUGACUGAAAGAAUCAGGGACUUCGACGUGGGAGGGCUAUAUUUGGGGAAGUGCCUCCAGCUCCAUUGGCCUGUAACAUAAUGGCUCACUGGUUAAAAACAAGGUCACUGUUAAAAAGGAAAAAACAGCCGUGAUUGUCGGGGUGGUGACUUGCAGGUGACUCAUGGAGCCAAAAAUCAAAGCAAUAAGGGUGACAGCAGGUGGAAACCAGGCAGGCGCCACCCCUCCCUCCCUCUCACCCUCUGGUUCACU